rnacentral:misc_RNA from 1 species
CGGAAAUGCGGUGAACUUCCAGAUUGAAAAUUCCUGGUUCCUUGCUGCUGUGAGAAGGCCCCUGCUCUUGGCAUUUCCAUUGUGGAACUUAUACUCUUGUUUGGCAAGGGGGAGCCCGAAAAUGAUGAGAUUGCAGAACUGGCUAAAGAACCAUUCUCUUCUCCAGGAGCUUUAGGAAAUUCCAGGGAUCGCUCUUGUUUUUCCCUUAAUGCCUCCUUCUUUAUAUCUUCAAUACUCUUUCCAGAGCUGACCUUUCGAUAUGGCCACCGCACCAGACCAUUCUCAUAGCAUAUUUUCUUGAGAACACUUGCACAAACACCUAGGGAUUCAGCAGCAUCAGAGAGAGGCAAACUGAACAACUUGGAAACGUCAUCAAAGGAUACAGAUUUUGGGUCCAUAAUUGGUUUCGGAUACGGAUUCGGAUUCGGAUUCUGAAUCGGGUUUGGGUUGGAGCUUGGAGCUGAACCUUG